AUGAUUUGAAGUUAGUGGGUCUACUGGUGUGUAAUUUGUGAAACUUCUUAGUUUCUCUAUCUUCACUUCAAACGUAACUAUUUCUCUCUGUGUGUAUGUGUGUACAUUCAGUACUUGUUGAGUUAGCUUUUUUUCUCUUUAUUCUCCACAAUUCCUACAGUCCAACUACUUGACUCUGUUAAUCUGUUUUCUUUUCCACCUUUGUUUCACAAGUCUCUUGGGUAUUGUGUAAUUGGACGUUUUUACAUAAUCUUCAAUGUUCAGGCUUAUAUAUUUAGAAUUGCCAAAGGAGGAAUUUUCAGUAAUUCUUAUUUAGUCACAUUGCUUCAAAUUACUCAUGCAUUAUCUCUUACCUUUGAGAUUUUGAUGAGGUAACUAUUAAUUUUCUGAAUAAUAUGGUAGGAUUGGUGUGAGAGGCCACAUCUGGCCAGUUUGACCAUAAAGCAGGUUGAAUAUUUUUGGCUGGAUAUGGCUGGUUUAACUGCUAAAGGGUUAAAUCCAGUUCUACUAAUCAAAAAGGUGAUAGUUACUGCUUUUACAUGGUAAACUCUACUUAUUUGAGUCAGUUAUGUGUCAUAGAAAUUAAUGACUAGCUCUGGCUGAAAAUUCAUAAGACGGUUCAUAUUUAAGAGAUUUGUCAUAACCUCUCAUUUUAAAAAUCUUUUCAAGGUUUUUCUUAAGUUUUCAUACAUUUAAACUGUUUUGUGAGUAAAAACUGUUAGAAUCCUGAUACAAAUUUCAAAUCAGUGACUAAUAUUAAUUCCCUCAGUUGCUUGUAUGUGAAUUUGCUGAUUGAUAAAUUGCCACUGGAACUGCCUGUCGUCUCUCAGCUACUUAAUUAGGGUUGAUGGCUGUUGGUUUAGUGGCCCCAGUCAAGAGAGAGGAGUUGCGUAGUUAUCUUAAUAUUGGCACUAUUUUCUCUGUUUGCUAAACCUCAUCUGAACUUAAUAUAACGUCUGGUUGUCGCUAAUAUAUAUAUAUAUAUAUAUGUGGCUCAGCUUCUCAAGUUGACAGUAAAUGUCCAUCAAACAAUUCACAAUUCAUUCUAUCAUCGUUGCAGCUGUUAAUUUGACCCUGGAUAUAACAUAGCUUCAUUUCUAAUUGUUGUCACUGGAAAGAAAAUGUAAGAGGAAAAAGAAAAUUGUAAUUUCAUUAUCAGUGAUAUCGCUACUUUCAUCAUUGUGUAUGUAGGUGCGGGUGUGGCUGUGUGAUAAGAAGCUUCCUUCCCAACCACAUGGUUCUGGGUUCAGUCCCAUUGCAUGGCACCUUGGGCUGACCAAAGCUUUGUGAGUGGAUUUGGUAGAUUGAAACUCAAAGAAGCCCAUUGUAUGUGUGUGUGUGUGUAUAUAUAUAUAUAUGCAUAAUGUCCUUGUUUGUCCCUCACCAUUUCUUCACUAGUGUUGGUGUGUUUACAUCCCUGUAAAUUAGUUGGCAACACAGAAUAAGUACCAGGCUUUAAAAAUAAGUUUCUGAUCAAUUUAUUUGAUUGAAAUUUCUUAAAGAUGGUAAACACACACACUGUAGUUACUGAUCAUUUCUAUUUUAAUAUCCAUCUUUUGAAGCUGUCAGACAUGACAUUCACUUCAAAGAAUGUUGCCAUUCAUUUCAACCUUAUUUCGCCUGCCAGGCCUAAGAACACUUUUUCCCUGUUUAUUCUUGAAAUUGUUCAUUUCAUUGUUGUGGCAUCAUACAUGUGCACAUUCACAAAGAAUUUGUACAGCUUACUCAUUGUCCAUGAAUAGGAAUUGACUCUUAAAGGUUUUCUCUUGGAAUUAGCACUUAUCCCAAAUUCUGGUCAAAUUUUAACUGCAUUUGUGUCUUACAUUUUGUUCUUUUCAUAACUUUUACAAGUUGAUUCUUGCCAUCUUUCCCUGCUGUGAAUCUUACAAAACUUGCAGUAAUCAGUAAUACUUCACAUAAAAUAUCUCAACCAGUUAACAUUCUAACAACUUCACAGUUCUUUAUUUUGGAAACUGGUACAAUUGCUUGAGGGUUAGACAAUAUUUACCGUUCAUCAGCGGUAUCAAAUCAAAUUGAAAUUGUAGUUGUGAGCCCCAUGCCAAAAGCACAUAAAAGGCACCAUCCGAAUGUGGCCGAUGCCAGUGCUACUUUGACUGGCUUCCAUGCCGGUGGCAUGUAAAAAGCACUCGCUACACUCUUGGUGUGGUUGGCGUUAGGAAGGGCAUCCAGGUGUUGAAACACUACCAGAUCAGAUUGGGGCCUGGUGCAGCCUCCUGGCUUUCCAGACCCCAGUCGAACCGUCCAACCCAUGCCAGCAUGGGAAACUAGCAUUAAACGAUGAUGAUGAUUGGCUAAUAUUGGUUUGUAUUGUCACCAUACUGACAACACUAGAGAAGAUUUUAGAUUUUCUGUGUUCUGUUCUAAUUUUGCAGUGUUUAAUGUUGUAGGGGAAUAAUUUUUGUUUUUCUUUGGUCAUAAUAUGAAGAAUUUUGAAGUAAUUAAUGGUGAGAAAGAAACCUUGUUUGAAGAUGGAGAGUAGGUGCAAGCAGAGAAUUUCAGGUAGCAUAAGGAUUGAUGGGUGACAGCUUGUGUGAGAUAUGGUUAUUACAAUAAUGUAAAUUUGAGCUGAUUUUUAACUUGAUUUGAGCAAAAUUUGAUCAUUUAAUGUCCGUUGUCCAUGCUAGCAUGGGUUGGACAGUAUGACUGGGCUGGCAUGUGGAAGGCUGCACCAGACACCAGUCUGAUUUGGCAUGGUUUUCUACUGCUAGAUGCCCUUCUUAAUGCCAACUGCUCCGAGAGUGUAACCGGUGCUUUUACGUACCAUUUCUGUGACACUGGGGUGUGUUUACAUGACAAUUUGUGUGGCACCAGUAUCAGCCACAACUGAUUUUGCUUGGCUCGAUGGGUCUUCUCAAGCACGACAUAAUGCCAAAGGUCUCGGUCAUUGCCUCUGUGAGUCCCAACACUCAAAAGGAACUCAGCCACUUAGCCUCUGUGAGGCCCAAUGCUUGAAAGGAAAUUGCUAGAAAUACUUAAUUCUACAUGGUUUGGGAAUGAAUUCAAACUUUUUUUUUUUAAAACAACAUUUAUGAUGACAUUAUUAAGGUCGUCUUUCGAACAUGAAAUUUUAAUGGAUGGUUUUAAUUUAUUGUACUUUAAAAUGGGGGUUUUGUAUCAAAGGACCAAGGGUAAUCUCAAAAAGGUCAAUGUUAGUAACGAGAUGGAGAAUGAUGGGAUUCUAGUUUUUGGUUGUUGUAUGAAAAUCGAUUCUAAUAUAAGUUAAGUGAAUCAGUCUGGUUCUAAGUAAUCAGGUAAGUAAAUAUUCUGUGAAAUCUUGAAUCUAUUUUCAAU
rnacentral:lncRNA from 1 species